GUGAUCAUACCAGAACUAAUGCACCGUAUCCCAUCAGAACUCAAAAGGUAACAAUUAUUGGGCGAGAAUAGUUCUAGGAUGGGUGAACCCCUAUGAAGUCCACGUU